rnacentral:rRNA from 1 species
CAGUCGCCGCGGUAAUACAGAGGUGCCAAGCGUUAGGCGGAAUCACUGGGCUUAAAGCGUGUGUAGGCGGAUGCCUAAGUACCUUGUGAAAUCCCACGGCUCAACCGUGGAACUGCUGGGUAUACUGGGUGUCUUGAGCCAACUAGGGGCUACCGGAACAAGUGGUGGAGCGGUGAAAUGCGUAGAUAUCACUUGGAACGCCAAUGGUGAAAACAGGUAGCUGGGGUUGUGCUGACGCUGAGACACGAAAGCCAGGGGAGCAAACGGGAUUAGAUACCCCAGUAGUCCCUGUCUCUUAUAC